rnacentral:rRNA from 1 species
GACGAACGCUGGCGGCGUGCUUAACACAUGCAAGUCGAACGGAGUGGCGAACGGGUGAGUAACACGUUGGUGACCUUCCCUGAACUUCGGGAUAAGCCUGGGAAACCGGGUCCAAUACCGGCAAGUGUGGGAGGGGGCCGGUGCCUAUCAGCUUGUUGGUGGGGGAAUGGCCUACCAAGGCGGCGACGGGUAGCCGUCCUGAGAGGGUGGACGGCCACAUUGGGACUGCGACACGGCCCAGACGGCUACAGGGGGCAGCAGUGGCGAAUAUUGCACAAUGGGGGGGAGCCUGAUGCGGCGACGCCGCGGGGGGGAUGACGGUCUUCGGGGUGUAAACGCCUUUCACCAUCGACGCGGUAGAUGGAGAAGAAGCACCGGCUAACUCCGUGCCAGCAACCGCGGUAAUUC